rnacentral:rRNA from 1 species
GCAGCAGUAGGGAAUUUUCGGCAAUGGGGGAAACCCUGACCGAGCAACGCCGCGUGAAGGAAGAAGGUUUUCGGAUUGUAAACUUCUGUUAUAAAGGAAGAACGGCGGCUACAGGAAAUGGUAGCCGAGUGACGGUACUUUAUUAGAAAGCCACGGCUAACUACGUGCCAGCAGCCGCGGUAAUACGUAGGUGGCAAGCGUUAUCCGGAAUUAUUGGGCGUAAAGAGGGAGCAGGCGGCAGCAAGGGUCUGUGGUGAAAGCCUGAAGCUUAACUUCAGUAAGCCAUAGAAACCAGGCAGCUAGAGUGCAGGAGAGGAUCGUGGAAUUCCAUGCGUAGCGGUGAAAUGCGUAGAUAUAUGGAGGAACACCACGUGGCGAAGGCGACGAUCUGGCCUGCAACUGACGCUCAGUCCCGAAAGCGUGGGGAGCAAAUAGGAUUAGAUACCCUAGUAGUCCACGCCGUAAACGAUGAGUACUAAGUGUUGGAUGUCAAAG